AUGGUGGACGCUGCCUGGCCCAUGGACAUAGCGCAACGUACGUACACAUGUUUGGUUUCGAUCCCAUGGCGGCCGGCGGAAGGAGCGGCGGCGGCAGCGGGGUGCAUGCGGCGGAGAGGCUUCACAGGCUCGCCGAGCAGCGCUUCCUGGUCGGCGACGUGGCCGGGGCGCUCCGGGCCGCGCGGGAGGCCCAGGCGCGCUGCCGGUCGCUCCCGGGGCUCGCGCACGCCCUCGCCGCCUACGAGGUCCACGCCGCCGCGGCCGCCUCCCGCGCCAGCGGCAGGAACUGGUACGCCGUCCUCAGCUUCGGCGCCCGGACGUCGCUGCCGAGCGGCGGCGUCGGCGUCUCGCACGAGGACAUCAAGCGGCGGUACCGCCGGCUGUGCCUUACCCUGCACCCGGACAAGAACCGCUCCGCCGCCGCCAACGGCGCGUUCAAGCUGCUCCAGCAGGCGUGGGGGGCGCUCUCGGUCCGCCACCCGCCCGCUCCCCGCGACGCCGCGGCCACGGGAGUCACCAAGCCGCGCUCUGCCCCGACGCCGUCGCCGCGACCCCGCCCGCCGGCGCCUCCCACUCCUGCCUCGAAGCCCAGCGACCACAGCCAACCACCGUCUCCGGCCGCCAACAACGCGCACAGGGACGACGACAAGCGGCGAGCCGGCGCCGGCGACACGUCUCACAGCAGGCCACCGCCCACGCACCCAAGGCCGAGAGAGCCAGCGCGGACACGACGCGUCACACGUCGGCGUCUCACGCGAAGCCCGGCACUCACAGCCGACCACCGCCACCGGCCGCCUCCGCCGCCUACACGCCCAAGGACGAGGGAUCCGGCACGGACACGCACACGCCGCCGCGGCGCCAGGGGAGCAGGAGGUUCCCGUGCCCGGCGCGGUGCGUGCACUGCGGCGCGCGGUUCGCGUCGUCGACGGUGUCCGUGGGCACGUGGCACCUCCACUGCGCGGCCUGCCACAGGUACGCCAAGGUGUGCGUGCGCAGCCCCUCCAACGCAGAGAUCUGCAGGUGAAGAAGCUUCGACCACGACCAAGAUGGAGAGGGACGGAGCAGAUGAUGAUACCAUAUCCUAGCUGGUAUGCCAUUUUUAGUUCACUCGUCAAUGUUUCCUUGUAUGUUUCUCUUGUCAGGGGAGGAUGUGUAGGCUCUGCGUGCGUCUCUAGGUGUUCAUGUCUGAAAUCCUUGGCGCCAAGAUGA
rnacentral:rRNA from 1 species